rnacentral:siRNA from 1 species
AAUCGUAGUGUCUGUUCGCUUAAA